rnacentral:rRNA from 1 species
GCUACAGGCUUAACACAUGCAAGUCGAGGGGCAGCAUUUCAGUUUGCUUGCAAACUGGAGAUGGCGACCGGCGCACGGGUGAGUAACACGUAUCCAACCUGCCGAUAACUCGGGGAUAGCCUUUCGAAAGAAAGAUUAAUACCCGAUGGUAUAAUCAGACCGCAUGGUCUUGUUAUUAAAGAAUUUCGGUUAUCGAUGGGGAUGCGUUCCAUUAGGCAGUUGGUGAGGUAACGGCUCACCAAACCUUCGAUGGAUAGGGGUUCUGAGAGGAAGGUCCCCCACAUUGGAACUGAGACACGGUCCAAACUCCUACGGGAGGCAGCAGUGAGGAAUAUUGGUCAAUGGGCGCAGGCCUGAACCAGCCAAGUAGCGUGAAGGAUGACUGCCCUAUGGGUUGUAAACUUCUUUUAUAUGGGAAUAAAGUUUUCCACGUGUGGAAUUUUGUAUGUACCAUAUGAAUAAGGAUCGGCUAACUCCGUGCCAGCAGCCGCGGUAAUACGGAGGAUCCGAGCGUUAUCCGGAUUUAUUGGGUUUAAAGGGAGCGUAGGUGGACAGUUAAGUCAGUUGUGAAAGUUUGCGGCUCAACCGUAAAAUUGCAGUUGAUACUGGCUGUCUUGAGUACAGUAGAGGUGGGCGGAAUUCGUGGUGUAGCGGUGAAAUGCUUAGAUAUCACGAAGAACUCCGAUUGCGAAGGCAGCUCACUGGACUGCAACUGACACUGAUGCUCGAAAGUGUGGGUAUCAAACAGGAUUAGAUACCCUGGUAGUCCACACAGUAAACGAUGAAUACUCGCUGUUUGCGAUAUACAGUAAGCGGCCAAGCGAAAGCAUUAAGUAUUCCACCUGGGGAGUACGCCGGCAACGGUGAAACUCAAAGGAAUUGACGGGGGCCCGCACAAGCGGAGGAACAUGUGGUUUAAUUCGAUGAUACGCGAGGAACCUUACCCGGGCUUAAAUUGCAUUUGAAUAUAUUGGAAACAGUAUAGCCGUAAGGCAAAUGUGAAGGUGCUGCAUGGUUGUCGUCAGCUCGUGCCGUGAGGUGUCGGCUUAAGUGCCAUAACGAGCGCAACCCUUAUCUUUAGUUACUAACAGGUCAUGCUGAGGACUCUAGAGAGACUGCCGUCGUAAGAUGUGAGGAAGGUGGGGAUGACGUCAAAUCAGCACGGCCCUUACGUCCGGGGCUACACACGUGUUACAAUGGGGGGUACAGAAGGCAGCUACCUGGUGACAGGAUGCUAAUCCCAAAAGCCUCUCUCAGUUCGGAUCGAAGUCUGCAACCCGACUUCGUGAAGCUGGAUUCGCUAGUAAUCGCGCAUCAGCCAUGGCGCGGUGAAUACGUUCCCGGGCCUUGUACACACCGCCCGUCAAGCCAUGAAAGCCGGGGGUACCUGAAGUACGUAACCGCAAGGAGCGUCCUAGGGUAAAACUGGUAAUUGGGGCU